rnacentral:misc_RNA from 1 species
GAUGAAGAACGGAGCGAAAUGCGAUAAGUAAUGUGAAUUGCAGAAUUCAGUGAAUCAUCGAAUCUUUGAACGCAUCUUGCGCUCCUUGGUAUUCUGAGGAGCAUGCCUGUUUGAGUGUCAUUAAAUUCUCAACUACACUGACUUUGAAUUGGUGUGGCUUGGAUUUGGGGGGAAAAUUGUUGUGGGCUUUUUGUAUAGUCUGCUCCCCUGAAAUUGAUUAGCGGUACCUUUGUGGAACUGUCUACAGGUGUGAUAAUUAUCUACAUCUUAGACAUCUGCUGGAAUGCUGCUUUCUAAACCUUACUUGUAUUGACAAUCUUGACCUCAAAUCAGGUAGGACUACCCGCUGAACUUAAGCAUAUCAAUAAGCGGAGGA